rnacentral:misc_RNA from 1 species
UUUCCGUAGGUGAGCCUGCGGAAGGAUCAUUACCGAGUGGGGGACUCUCAGGCCCGUCGUCCCACCCUCUGCUCUUGUGACCUUGUUGCGUUGGCGGGGCCGCCUCGACGACACGCCGCCGGAAGCUCACCGCUUUGGGCCCGUGUCCGCCAGUACCCUCCUUAAACUCUUAACAAAGCUGUCGUCGGAGUGUAUACGUAAUAAAAAAAACUAUCAACAACGGAUCUUCUGGUUCUGGCGUCGAUGUAGAACGAAGGAAAUCGAAGAGGUCAGGGCUGA